AAGACUAUAGACCUGCGGAGUACCUGCGGAAGGAUCAUUACCGAGUUAUCAACUCCCAAACCCCUGUGAACAUACCCGAACGUUGCCUCGGCGGGACCGCCCCGGCGCCCCUAGCGGCCCGGAACCAGGCGCCCGCCGGAGGACCCAAACUCUUGCUUUAAACAGUGGCAUACUCUCUGAGUCUCACAAACAAAAAAUAAAUCAAAACUUUCAGCAACGGAUCUCUAGAUCGGAAGAGCA
rnacentral:misc_RNA from 1 species